GUAACCAACUGCGGCCUUGACCUCCAACAGUAUCAGCAACAGAGAGGUGUGAAGUUUCCACAACAGACUUAGAGUCAGUUUAUCAUACACUUCUCUUUAGACGCUGCAGCCUUGACCUCCAUCAACAGAGUUAGAGUUAGUUUAUCAUGAGAACAUACAGACACCACUGACUGGAACCAGCUGACAGUAUCAGUUGUAAAGGCUUCAUUACUACUAACAGAAGGAAAGUUGUAGUGUUAUGUCCAUGAUGAAUGAUGUAAAGGCUUCAUUACUACUAACAGAAGGAAAGUUGUAGUGUCCAUGAUGAAUGAUGUAAAGGCUUCAUUACUACUAACAGAAGGAAAGUUGUAGUGUUAUGUCCAUGAUGAAUGAUGUAAAGGCUUCAUUACUACUAACAGAAGGAAAGUUGUAGUGUCCAUGAUGAAUGAUGUAAAGGCUUCAUUACUACUAACAGAAGGAAAGUUGUAGUGUUAUGUCCAUGAUGAAUGAUGUAAAGGCUUCAUUACUACUAACAGAAGGAAAGUUGUAGUGUUAUGUCCAUGAUGAAUGAUGUAAAGGCUUCAUUACUACUAACAGAAGGAAAGUUGUAGUGUUAUGUCCAUGAUGAAUGAUGUAAAGGCUUCAUUACUACUAACAGAAGGAAAGUUGUAGUGUUAUGUCCAUGAUGAAUGAUGUAAAGGCUUCAUUACUACUAACAGAAGGAAAGUUGUAGUGUUAUGUCCAUGAUGAAUGAUGUAAAGGCUUCAUUACUACUAACAGAAGGAAAGUUGUAGUGUUAUGUCCAUGAUGAAUGAUGUAAAGGCUUCAUUACUACUAACAGAAGGAACGUUGUAGUGUUAUGUCCAUGAUGAAUGAUGUAAAGGUUUCAAUGUGUUUUAUAUUGAGCUGCUCUGUUAAAUUCUGUUUGUUCAUGUGAAAUUGGAAAUUGUAUUUUUCUAUAAUGUCAUUGUGUGUGUUUAGCUUGAGCAACACCAUUGUAUGGUUGGAGUAGUAACAUGUUCCACUACUGAAGACAUUGGCUCUAAUCUAGUGGAGUAAUAACAUGUUCCACUACUGAAGACAUUGUCUCUAAUCUAGUGGAGUAAUAACAUGUUCCACUACUGAAGAC
rnacentral:lncRNA from 1 species